AAGGGGAAGACUCACAUAGAGGCAGCAGUAGAGAAUCUUGUGCAAUAAACGAAAGUAUGACACAGAGAGGACACAUUUAAUUGAGCCCGUCAAAUUAAGUGCCAGCCGACGCGGUUAAACUUAAGGGCUGGUCUUUAUAAGUAAAAAGGCGUAAAGGAUGUGUAGGCCAAGAAACGACCCAAGUAGGUAAAUGGAAUUUUUCUGGAGCGGUAGAAUGUGAGGAUAGAAAAUAGAACCCCUAAGGUAAAAACUAUUUACCACAAGGUAGGCUGAAACAUGAGAGUGUGGGGAGCAAACAGGAUUAGAGACCCUGGUAGUCCACACUGUGAACUUUGAAGAUGAUGCUUAGCAGACCCGAAAGGUAAAUCUUCCGCCUGAGUAGAACGAUCGCAAGAUUAAAAUUCAAAAACUUUGGCUGUUCACUAUUUCGAUUAGAGGAGCGUGUUGUUUAAUUCGAUGGUCCGCGUGUUACCUUACCCCAACUUGAAUCUGUGACCGGUAUUGCAUGGCCGUCGUAAGUUCGUGUAUUAAGCUAGAAGGGACCCAACCCGGGCAUUUGCCCGGAGGAAGUCAGGUCUUAUGAUCCGAAUGUUGGGGGAUUUUAUGCGCUACAUUUUCUUAUAUAAUGGGAAACCUGGAAGGUGAGCCUCUAAAGUAAGAGUUCGGAAGGUCGCUGUAAGACGACUGGAAGUUGGAUUUAAUAGUAAUCGGAAAGUAGGGCGUUCCGGUGAAUUGGUACAAGUGUUAGCACAAAUUGCCCGUCACCUUUACCUAGAAUGGUUAUUCGGACGUCUUCGGGGAUUACGAAUGCCUACGAGGUA
rnacentral:rRNA from 1 species